rnacentral:rRNA from 1 species
GAUGAGCGCUGGCGGCGUGCCUAAUACAUGCAAGUCGAGCGAACAGACGAGGAGCUUGCUCCUCUGACGUUAGCGGCGGACGGGUGAGUAACACGUGGAUAACCUACCUAUAAGACUGGGAUAACUUCGGGAAACCGGAGCUAAUACCGGAUAAUAUAUUGAACCGCAUGGUUCAAUAGUGAAAGACGGUUUUGCUGUCACUUAUAGAUGGAUCCGCGCCGCAUUAGCUAGUUGGUAAGGUAACGGCUUACCAAGGCAACGAUGCGUAGCCGACCUGAGAGGGUGAUCGGCCACACUGGAACUGAGACACGGUCCAGACUCCUACGGGAGGCAGCAGUAGGGAAUCUUCCGCAAUGGGCGAAAGCUUGACGGAGCAACGCCGCGUGAGUGAUGAAGGUCUUCGGAUCGUAAAACUCUGUUAUUAGGGAAGAACAAAUAUGUAAGUAACUAUGCACGUCUUGACGGUACCUAAUCAGAAAGCCACGGCUAACUACGUG